rnacentral:rRNA from 1 species
UACGUAGGGAGCAAGCGUUGUCCGGAAUCAUUGGGCGUAAAGCGCGCGUAGGUGGCUCUAUAAGUCCGUUGUGAAAGUCAAAGGCUCAACCUUUGAAAGCCGAUGGAUACUGUAGAGCUAGAGUCCGGAAGAGGCGAGUGGAAUUCCUGGUGUAGCGGUGGAAUGCGCAGAUAUCAGGAGGAACACCAAUAGCGAAGGCAGCUCGCUGGGACGUGACUGACACUAAGGCGCGAAAGCUAGGGGAGCAAACAGG